UGGUCACGAUGGGAUCCCUGUGUUGCGCGCGGUUUCCAAUUAUCCAGCCCCCAUCCGUCUGUCCAGCGCUGUCGGAGAGGUUCUGGGUGUCUAUACCACAGAACAUUCGAAGGCACUACGAAUCAAUACCGAAGAAUAAACGAGCGGCGGCGAGGGCAAUCUGUCAUUCGGUUUCCUAUCGGAAGCCUUGGUGUAACAAGUGGCACCAGCGUCAGCAUUUCCGCUACAAGCAUUGCUGAGAAAUGAUGGGCUGAAGCUGCGGGCUGUUGUGCAGUCAACAAAACAGUCAAAACACAUGUGCGUGUCGUCAGCAAAAGAGUUACAUCUCUCUCUUAUGUACCCAUACUAGUAAGAAAGACAAUUCCUGCCAUUUUUGUAUGCUGAAUUUUCAUUGAAGUUUUCUGAUAAUGAAGUUUUCUGAUAAUCUUAUAUAACUUUGAACCAUGACAGCCGGCGGGUGCUUUUAUUUUUUUUCCUUUGUUCUAUUUUACUAAAGUUAUGAGCGUAAAUUUAAUUGAGUACUAAUUUUACUUACUUUAAUGGGUACCUCUUAGCAUAUGAAGUUUUAUUCAUUUUGAGGGUUUACAUGGAUAUAUACUCGUCAAGCAACUUAUUAUAAGUACUUUAAAAAUUUCAAUUAAAACUCACAGAAGAGUCUAAAGAAAUUACAUCAUGAAUUUGCAUUUUUUCAAAUAGGUAUUAUAUGAUAUCUAUGGCUUCGCAGCCCCUCCACUUACGUUCUUGUUAUGAUUAACAGAUAGAUAAAACGUAAAACGACGAACCCGCGCGUUCCUAAGUCGAGAUUAGGAAACUAAUUGGCUGACUCACUCGUCUUGCUCAUUUAAUUUUUUAACCUGCCUGACGACAUAUAAAUUAAUAAACACUAAGACUAGAUAUUUAUAUGGUAUGUCACCACACACAGAAGUCGGAUCGCCAUCUUGGAUUUCUCAGACAAUCUCGCACUUUCCGGAGAUGGUGAUCGGAAAAUUCCGACUGUGAGGUCGGACCGGUAUGACCGGUGGGAGUCCGCGGACUCGACCACAAUCUACGUCCGUGGGAAAUUGCUUCCCAUAAAUUUCAAACUUCUAAACGGAAUAACUGAGCAGCUGAGAAGCGUGCGUUUGAGAGCUUCGCGCUUCUCUCGGAGAGCGUUCAAUGGAUUCUACUGACAGGCCUGGGGAAAGGGAACAAGCAAACAGUUCAUAAGAAGCCUCAGAAAAGAACACCUUAGUAGAAUAAUAUUUUAUUGUGCCCUCGCUUAAGAAAUGCUGUAUCCUUCCGUGAUUUUUUUUUUCGCUUAGUACGCAGCCUACAGAUUUGUCGUUUUGAAAUCUUUAUAUUUUCGGGGAGCUCAUGACUUGCACAAGCCAUGUUUUUUUCUGUGGGCCUCUCGCCCCGCCAUUUUUGCGUGUUGUUAUUGUAUGUAGUCCAAUUGUAAUAAUGGCAAACAAAUAAACUGAAUCCUGUGCAAUAAACAA